AAUAAUCCUAUUUUUCGUUUUUCUGUGUCCAACGUUUGACCAUUCGUCUUAUUUGAAAAAUUAGUGCAAAAACCUAAAAAAAUUAGUCAUGUAUAAAGUACUAUUCAUAUUUUAUCAUCUAGUAAUAAUAAAAAUUUUAAUCGUAAAAAUUUUUUAAAUAAGACGAAUGGUCAAACAUUGGGCACGGAAAAAC
rfam:Oryza brachyantha chromosome 6, whole genome shotgun sequence.